AGAGUUUGAUCCUGGCUCAGAUUGAACGCUGGCGGCAUGCCUUACACAUGCAAGUCGAACGGUAACGCGGGGCAACCUGGCGACGAGUGGCGAACGGGUGAGUAAUACAUCGGAACGUGCCCAGUAGUGGGGGAUAGCCCGGCGAAAGCCGGAUUAAUACCGCAUACGACCUACGGGUGAAAGCAGGGGAUCGCAAGACCUUGCGCUAUUGGAGCGGCCGAUGUCAGAUUAGGUUGUUGGUGGGGUAAAAGCCUACCAAGCCGACGAUCUGUAGCUGGUCUGAGAGGACGACCAGCCACACUGGGACUGAGACACGGCCCAGACUCCUACGGGAGGCAGCAGUGGGGAAUUUUGGACAAUGGGCGCAAGCCUGAUCCAGCCAUGCCGCGUGCGGGAAGAAGGCCUUCGGGUUGUAAACCGCUUUUGUCAGGGAAGAAACGCUCCGGGCUAAUACCUUGGGGUAAUGACGGUACCUGAAGAAUAAGCACCGGCUAACUACGUG
rnacentral:rRNA from 1 species